rnacentral:lncRNA from 1 species
CUCCCAUGGCAUAUGGAGGUUCCCAGGCUAGGGGUCUAAUGGGAGCUAUAGCCACUAGCCACAGAGCCACAGCAAUGCAGGAUCCUAGGCGUGUCUGCAACCUAGACCAAAGCUCACGGCAACGCCGGAUCCUUAACCCACUGAGCAAGGCCACGGAUCAAACCUGCAACCUCAUGGUUCCUAGUCAGAUUUGUUAAGCACUGCGCCACGAUGGGAACUCCCAUUUUAGUUUUUUUAAGGUUUUUUCAGUAAAACAUCAGUGCAAGUGUCCAUAUAAUACAUAUUAAAAACCUUUGGAAAAUUAGAUUGUAACAUAAGGCAACAGGAAACUGGGUGUUGAUGAGACACAAAUGGCUGCCUUCCACUGUGAUCUCUUGGAAUCUAUUAAUUUAUAGAUUGAUCUAACAUAUAUAGAACAUCUAUUUUAUUUCCAUCCUAGUACUCAGGAAUUGCAAAUAACAACAUAGUGGUAUGGUAGUUAUGUAAUAAAUUAGUUAUAAUUAAUUUAUAAAAUAAUAAUAAAAAUAUUGAAAAACAUUAUAAGGGAAAAAAUUAUUUACUAUUAUCUACAUACUAUGUACCAAAAUCUACACAGAUCCUUUUGUAAUCUGCACAUUUUUUGUUUAAUCACCAAUACAACUCAGUAAUAAGUAAUACUUUUGAUGCUUGAGAAGAAAUGGAGGCUCAAAGAGUUUUAAAAAUUGAAAUAUGAUUCUUGAUUCUUCAUGGCUGAAUUCAUAUUGAGUCACUCCAGAGGUCAUGUUUUUUUUCAAAGUUAAAUGGGCCUGUACUGUUUACAAAAGACUUGUCAGAAAAGAUGCUGUGUGAGAUGAUAUGUGAUCCAGGCCUUGAACAUAACUAGGAUUUUGCCAGAUGGUUAUGAUGUUGAAGGACAUUGCAGGACAUGGAAACAGCUUAUGCAAAUAAAGUAAAUGAUAUAUUUGUGGAUCAGUGAAUUCUGUUUGGCUUUAGCUAUGGUCUGAACUGAAUUUGUAAAGUGUUUUGUAGGACUUGGCAGGGCCUUUCAGACAUGGUUGAGGUUAUUUUGUUGUGAGAAUGAGUGAGAGGAUUUUUCUUUUUAAACUUCAGAAUGAAUAAAGACAAAGAUUAUGGAGAGUCAAAAAACAGUAUCAUCAUUUAAAUGUUACAAUAGACUGGGAAUAGGCCAGAAACAGAAAGAUAGAGUGAUACAGAGUCAUGAAAAGUAUUUCUUUUACUACAGAUGGUUGGAGAAGCCCUUAUCUGGAGGAUUUAGUUCCUGAUUUGGUGUGGGUAUUAAAGGAAAAAGAUUUAAGAUGCUGAGUUUCCUACCUUGAGGCUGCAUGAAUCUCAUCAUUAUCACAAUAUGAAUGCAAGAAGGAUAUGGAGGGAAGGUAGAAUUAUUAUCAUUAUUAUUAUUAUUAUUGCUUUUAGGCCACACCCAUGGCACACAGAAGUUCCCAGUCCAGGGGUGAAAGUGGAGUUGCACCUGCUGGCCUGUGCCACAGCCAUAGCAAUGCAGGAUCUGAGCUGCAUCUGGGACCUAUACCACAGCUCACACAACCCCGGAUCCCCAGUGUUGCUGUGAGCAAGGACAGGGAUCGAAUCCAUCUCCUCAUGGAUACUAGUCAGAUUUGUUUCCUCUGUACCACAAUGGGAAUUCCGGAAGAUGGAAUUAUUAAAUCAGAAUGAGCCAUGCUUGUGAUUACCAUGCAGCACAUGUUUAAGGUAAAAGGAGAAGCAGAAGAGUAGACCCUGAAGAACAUAUAUGUGUAAGCGGUGAGCAAAGGAAGAGAAACUAUCAAAAGAGACUAAGAAAAGGUAGGAAUUUGAUCCAUGGCCUGGGAACUUCCAUAUAACAUGGGUGCAGCCAUUAAAAAAAAAAAAAAAAGAAUUUAGUAUAUACCAAUUUCAUUUUAUAGAGAAAGUAUCUCUUACUUUUAACUUAUCUUGUACAACUGGUCGCCAUGGCCUGCAGGCUCCUUUCUCUUUCUGACCUCUUGUUCUUCCACAGGCCCCUUUCCUGAUCAGCACAUUGGGCUUUUUGGUUUUCCACUUUCCCUUCUUACGGUCUUGCCUAAAAUCCUCUUCAUACAGAUUUAGCCACACUGUCUUCUUCUCUUUACCUUUCGCAUCUUUGCUCAAAUGUCAUUUCACCAGGAGAACUCCCUGAGUAUUCCAGCUGAAAUAGCACCAUUCUCGAAUACACACACAUUCUUACCUGUACUACCUUCUAUCCUCUUACUCGAUGUUAGUAUCUUUGUAUAACACUCUGAAAUCACAUGACAUUAACCACAUUAUUAUUAUUUCUUAUUCAUGAAGGUAGGGAGUGUGAGCAUCCUCUUCACUCUAAUAAUAGCGAGUCCCUAGAAUGAUGCCUCAUGAAUAAUACGGCUCAAGAAAAAUUGUUCAUUUUUCCAAGAACAGGCCUCUGACCUGACUGUGAGGUCAGCUUUAUUCCAAAAGUAAUGAUGAAAGACGAAGGAGGAAGAGGAAAAAGAGAAAACAGAGGAGGAAGAACAACACUGAGCUACAGACUGUUGUUUCAGGCAUAUUUUUUGGAAGAUUUCUAUAUCUAUACUGGGAAUAAUCAGCUAUAACAAUCUCCAAAAGUUUUAGAAGGAGAAAGGUAAGUUAAAAAUGGGUGUAUAUUUGAAUGAUAGAACAAUUUGCAUUUUUUGAACUUUAGUAUUCAUUCUUUUUCUAUAUCAUAGGGGCAAGUUUAAUAGAAACAAAGAAGUUAUAAAACGUUAAAAUGAAAGCCACCUGUAAACAUGCAUUUGAUGAUUUAUUUUAUUCAACUCUUCAUCUUCCAAGGGAGUCAAAAUGAAAUAAUUAUAUGCCAGUUAAAUUUCACUAAAUUCCACCAUCAACUCCUGAGAGGAAGUGGUAGCGGAGCUCUAAAUCAUCGUCAUCAAAUAACACAUUAUCUGUUUAUUAAGGCACAUUAUUUCAUAAGUAUGAUUAAUUUAUUAUCUUCAGAGUAAGUUAUUUAUGAUGAGAAUAAAAGUUUGACUUGGUAGGCUAAAAAAAUAAAAUCUGCCUAAUUUGUCAUGAUAGUAAGAUUUAGUGAAAUUUGUGGAAUUUAGUUUCUUAUCCUUUUUCCUGCCCCCACAAUGCAACUAUUCUACAUAUAAAAAUGAACACAACUAUUUUCCCUUUAAUAAGCUUGAGCUUUCUGUAUGGAACGGCAAAAGUACAGCAUAUUCUGGUAAACUCUUAAAAUUUGGAAAAAAGCAUCCAACUGUGCAUUUUUCCUAAUGUGAUGACUGGAAUACUUCAGCCAAACUGAGAUCCUGUUGACCUUGGCAGUAUUACUGAAGAAAAUAGCCUUUGAAAAAAGCCUAAGAUGCAUUUUCAAUAAAACAGGUAAGUAUUUGGUUCAAUAUCCAUUCUGCAUAUAGUGCAUAUUGCAUAUUUCAAAAGCAAUAUGUGUUCAAAAAAACAUAAUCUGUGUUCAAAGAAAAAAAGUAAAUCUAUUUUUUCUAUUAUUUUAAACUCAGUUUAGCUGGAACCUAUUGAUAGCAUGAUGUGAAGUAUUCUAUAUUUCUUGAUAUACUCAUACCAUAAUUUUUUUCAUUUUGUUUCAGUUCUUGUAAAUAUCACUGUUUUUCCAAAAAUAAAAUCCAACUUAAUGUAAAUGUCAUACAGUGAAUAUAUAUGAAAAGUAAAUAUAAAAAUUAAAAUAGGUCAUAGUACUAAUAGAUAUUCUUGACCCAGGAUAGCAGAAAAUGCAUUUAACCUCCAAGUUCCGUUAUCCAAAUCAUGGAAACAAUCAAUGCUAUGACCUAGUUGAAAUCUAUAAAGAAGGAGUCAGGUAGAUUAAACAUUGGGUUUACAAUUUAACUAAUAGAUCAAGUUGAAUUUUUAAAAUUUAAUAUAUCUUAUACUAUAGAAACAUGGAGUAAACAGUUCUAAAGAAAAUCUAUUCUAAAUGCUUAAAGUAAAACCACAAAUAAGCACAUAUAGAAAUAAAUUUUUAAAUUACAAAAUGUGCACAUAUAUAUUCCUUCCAAGAAGAUAUUCUGAGCAUUGCUAAUAAUGUUGGCAUUUGAUCUAACUUGUGGAUUUGAAAUAAUCUUAAAGAAUUCUUAGUACAUUUUCAAUAUUACUUAAAAUGUAUAUAAAGCUUUAAAAAGACUUCUGCACAGUUAAUGUCAUUUGAUCCUUGCAUGGACACUGUUGGUUGAGACAUAUAUUUAGAUAUUGUUCUAAAAGUCACUUGUUCUAAUAUGCAAAGAACUUAGAAUUAGGAUCUAAAGCAGUUGACUUUUUAAUUCAUUACUUUAUGAGUAUGAUCAUUCAUGUAUUGAGCAAUUAUAUAUGAUACCUAUUAUGUACCACACACACACACACACACACACACACACACUCACACACUGUUGAACAUGACAGAUUAUGAGUGUAAGUUUGCUCUUAUACAAAUUAAUACACUUCAUAUUUUAUAUUUUAAAAUUAGUAUUAUGAUUGUAUGCUAUAAAGAAAAAGAGAAAGUUAAGCAUUUAUUGCCCCCCCCCAAAAAAAAUCCAUCAUAGUCUAGGUCAGCAAAGGCUACCCUGAUGAAUUGACUGUGUUUAUCCCUUGCCUGAUGUACUGGAUUUCCAAUAGCUUUCCCAAUUUCAGGUAUUGUAUUCUAUUGUAUGCCAACAUUUUCAAGCCAUUGAUCUUAUUUUGGCUUCAGAAAAUAAUGAGGUUGUUAUUACUAUAAAAUAAAAAUAAAAUUCUGUACAAGAAUAUCUAAGAACACAUCAUUUGUUUUGUGGAUAGGCUUCUCUACCUUUAACUAAAUAAAUUCUUCUUUUCUUAAAAGGCUAUUUGAGGAGUUCCCAUCCUGGCGCAGUGGAAACAAAUCCGACUAGGAACCAUGAGGUUGUGGGUUCAAUCCCUGGCCUCACUCAGUGGGUUAAGGAUCUGGCCACGCCAUGAGCUCUGGUGUGGGUUGCAGAUGAGUCUCAGAUCCUGCGUUUCUGUGCCUGUGGCAUAGGCUGACAGCUGUAGCUCCCAUUGGACCCCCUAGCCUGGGAAACUCCAUAUGCUGCGAGCGCAGCUCGAAAAAGCAAAAUAAAUAAAUAAACAAAUAAAUACAAAUAAAUUAAUUAAAAAUCAUUGUAAUUCUCACUUAAAAUAAAAAGAUGAAAUAAUGAAAACAUAUAGAUAAAAAUUGAAAAAAAUUUUUAAAAAGGCUAUUUAAAAUAUGAAGAUUUCAAAAUGGGAUUAAAUUACAAGUUAUCUGCUGGGAUCGUAGUGAGGUAAAGAUAUUUCCAGCAGAGGACAGCUCAAGCUAUUUCACUGUUCCUAAAAAUUAAAAUGUGUAUGAGAGUAAAAUGGAAGGUCCUCUGAUUUUUCCAUAUACACUGUUGGGGAGGAAGAAAAUUUCCUCUACCCUUCUAGGUUCUUCUGGCUGGUGUAAGAAUUAGACUGGCAUGAGGCAGAUUAUUAGGAGAAAAUCAAACAAAAUUUAAUUACAUGUAUCAUAGAAAAGACCCAGGAGAACUGAGUAACUCAUGAAAAUGGCCAAAGUCUUUACCUUAAAUACCAUCUCCAUCUCUGGUGAAAGAAAAAGAGGAUGUUGGGAGUAGGGGUUUGGGGCUUUAAGGGGAGGAAGGCAAUUGGCAUGGAGAUGGAAAAGCAAAUAUUUGGUAAGCAGAAACACAAAGUGGACUAGAUAGAGACAUGGAGUGGACUCUUAUCUCUAAGAGGUCCCCCCACCAUACCUAGUUCAUGUUUGUUGCAGAAAAUCUGGUGAUAGCUCUAUUCCUGUUAACAGGCCCUCUAUCUAAGCUUUUCAAGCAAGUGGGGGGGAGCGUGGGGGGGAGGGAGAAAAUCAACAUUUCUUCCAGAGCCUUUCAUGUGUUGAUUGCUUUUCGCUCUAAAUCUGUAUGCUAAAGAGACAAUUUUAGGGUGGCAAGUUUUGCUCCUUGACUAUGUGAACCAAACAAAGCCCAAUGUUUUGAUCUAAUCAGUUCAAAAUGGUAUUGACAGUACUGAAAAGGACAAAACACCUA